rnacentral:lncRNA from 1 species
CUCCUGUACUGCACUUCUUUCAUAUUGGGGGAACCCCAAAGUUCAAGGGCAAUGCCACAACCAAAACUCAACAAGGCCAGAUCCUAUCUUCACAGCUUUCCUGAAAGCUACAGGUUAACAUCGUAAGAGUUGACUAGACUCCAAGGGACAGCUAGAGGACAAGGGCUUGGCACAGCAUCUGCAUCGUCAGCACAGCACACAAAUGGCUCAGAGAAGGGACGGACAUCUUGGUUCUGGAGUUGCAGUAGUUUUGGACCAAGGUCAAUUUCAGGAAACUGAAGCCAUGUAAAUCGGGAUGUCAGGAAUUGGGGACUGUUGCAAUGUAUUU